ACACAUUGUGAUAAUACAGAGGUCUAUGAA
rnacentral:piRNA from 1 species